CUAGUCUCUUCCCCUCCUCCUCCCCCUUUCCCCUCUUUUCCCUUUCAGCUGCUGUUAUUACGUGGAGUUUGGAGCCUUAAGCUUUGAAAACUCCCAUGUGGCGCCUGUCUUAAGUCUGAGCAUGCUCAGUA
rfam:Otolemur garnettii contig009545, whole genome shotgun sequence.